GAUGAACGCUGGCGGCGUGCCUAAUACAUGCAAGUCGAGCGAACAGACGAGGAGCUUGCUCCUCUGACGUUAGCGGCGGACGGGUGAGUAACACGUGGAUAACCCGCCUAUAAGACUGGGAUAACUUCGGGAAACCGGAGCUAAUACCGGAUAAUAUAUUGAACCGCAUGGUUCAAUAGUGAAAGACGGUUUUGCUGUCACUUAUAGAUGGAUCCGCGCCGCAUUAGCUAGUUGGUAAGGUAACGGCUUACCAAGGCAACGAUGCGUAGCCGACCUGAGAGAGUGAUCGCCCACACUGGAACUGAGACCCGGUCCAGACUCCUACGGGAGGCAGCAGUAGGGAAUCUUACGCAAUGGGCGGAAGCCUGACGGAGCAACGCCGCGUGAGUGAUGAAGGUCUUCGGAUCGUGAAACUCUGUUAUUAGGGAAGAACAAAUGUGUAAGUAACUAUGCACGUCUUGACGGUACCUGAUCAGAAAGCCCCGGCUAACUACGUG
rnacentral:rRNA from 1 species